UUCACUUGAUGUACACUCUUUUCUUGAUCAAUCAUGGAAGUAAAAACUGAUUUAAUGAGUCUGAUGA